GAUGAACGCUGGCGGAGUGCCUAACACAUGCAAGUCGAGCGGCAGCGCGAGUAGUUUACUACUUGGCGGCGAGCGGCGGACGGCUGAGUAACGCGUGGGAACAUGCCCCAAAGUGAGGAAUAACUGCCCGAAAGGGUAGCUAAUGCCGCAUACGAUCUUCGGAUUAAAGGAUUUAUCCGCUUUGGGAGUGGCCUGCGUACGAUUAGAUAGUUGGUGAGGUAAUGGCUCACCAAGUCUACGAUCGUUAACUGGUUUGAGAGGAUGAUCAGUCAGACUGGAACUGAGACACGGUCCAGACUCCUACGGGAGGCAGCAGUGAGGAAUCUUCCACAAUGGACGAAAGUCUGAUGGAGCAACUCCGCGUGCAGGAUGAAGGCCUUCGGUCGUAAACUGCUUUACGAGUGAAGAAUAUGACGGUAACUCAUGAAUAAGGGUCGGCUAACUACGUGCCAGCAGCCGCGGUAAU
rnacentral:rRNA from 1 species